UAGGGUUUGAUCCUGGCUCAGAUUGAACGCUGGCGGUAUGCUUAACACAUGCAAGUCGAACGGAAACGAUACUAGCUUGCUAGUAGGCGUCGAGUGGCGGACGGGUGAGUAACGCGUAGGAAUCUGCCUGAUAGUGGGGGAUAGCCCGAAGAAAUUCGGAUUAAUACCGCAUAAUCUAUUCGUAGUAAAGUGGGGGACUUUCGAGCCUCACGCUAUCAGAUGAGCCUGCGUAAGAUUAGCUUGUUGGUAGGGUAAAAGCCUACCAAGGCAACGAUCUUUAGCUGGUCUGAGAGGAUGAUCAGCCACAUCGGGACUGAGACACGGCCCGAACUCCUACGGGAGGCAGCAGUGGGGAAUAUUGGACAAUGGGGGCAACCCUGAUCCAGCAAUACCGCGUGUGUGAAGAAGGCCUGAGGGUUGUAAAGCACUUUCAAUUGUGAAGAAAAGUUAAUGGUUAAUAACCGUUAGCCUUGACGUUAACUUUAGAAGAAGCACCGGCUAACUCCGUGCCAGCCGCCGCGGUAAUACA
rnacentral:rRNA from 1 species